rnacentral:rRNA from 1 species
AUUGAACGCUGGCGGCAGGCUUAACACAUGCAAGUCGGGCGGAGAUGAGGUGCUUGCACCUUAUCUUAGCGGCGGACGGGUGAGUAAUGCUUAGGAAUCUGCCUAUUAGUGGGGGACAACAUUCCGAAAGGAAUGCUAAUACCGCAUACGCCCUACGGGGGAAAGCAGGGGAUCUUCGGACCUUGCGCUAAUAGAUGAGCCUAAGUCGGAUUAGCUAGUUGGUGGGGUAAAGGCCUACCAAGGCGACGAUCUGUAGCGGGUCUGAGAGGAUGAUCCGCCACACUGGGACUGAGACACGGCCCAGAAUCCUACGGGAGGCAGCAGUGGGGAAUAUUGGACAAUGGGCGGAAGCCUGAUCUAGCCAUGCCGCGUGUGUGAAGAAGGCCUUUUGGUUGUAAAGCACUUUAAGCGAGGAGGAGGCUACCUGGAUUAAUACUCUAGGAUAGUGGACGUUACUCGCAGAAUAAGCACCGGCUAACUCUGUGCCAGCCGCCGCUGUAAGAC